UACGGGGGGGGCAAGCGUUGUUCGGAAUUACUGGGCGGAAAGGGCUCGUAGGUGGCCAACUAAGUCAGACGUGAAAUCCCUCGGCUUAACCGGGGAACUGCGUCUGAUACUGGAUGGCUUGAGAUUGGGAGAGGGAUGCGGAAUUCCAGGUGUAGCGGUGAAAUGCGUAGAUAUCUGGAGGAAUACCGGUGGCGAAGGCGGCAUCCUGGACCAUAACUGACGCUGAGGCGCGAAAGCUAGGGGAGCAAACGGG
rnacentral:rRNA from 1 species